CGCGAGGCAGUCUAAGGGCGAUGGACGCUGCCAGUAGGUUGGUCAAAUGGUUGGACGGAGUAAUUACCCGAAAGAUCUGAUUGGCUCUGGCAGAGGUGAGUGGUUCGAAUCCCUCCCUCGCGA
rnacentral:tRNA from 1 species